rnacentral:rRNA from 1 species
GACGAACGCUGGCGGCGUGCCUAACACAUGCAAGUCGAGCGGAGGCAAUAGCAAUAUUGCCUUAGCGGCGGACGGGUGAGUAACGCGUGGGUAACCUGCCUUAAACUGGGGGAUAACACAGGGAAACUUGUGCUAAUACCGCAUAACGUAGAACAAGGACAUCCUUGAUCUACCAAAGGAGUAAUCCGGUAUAAGAUGGACCCGCGUCCGAUUAGCUAGUUGGUAGUGUAAUGGACUACCAAGGCGACGAUCGGUAGCCGAACUGAGAGGUUGAUCGGCCACAUUGGGACUGAGACACGGCCCAGACUCCUACGGGUGGCUG